CUUGAUCGACCCCAACAACAGCGGCUCGUGCCCGUCACGACCCUGCCCGUAGGUGGCCAGCAACGCCUGCGCCUC
rnacentral:antisense_RNA from 1 species